rnacentral:lncRNA from 1 species
AUCAAGCCAAUGGACAAGUAACAAGUCAUACGAUUCGCUUAAAGAACUAACAUUGAGCAGUAAGACUGUGAGGACAAAAAGUAUAUCCAUGCAAUCAGAGGUUAACGCGCGAGGCAUAAGCCAUUAGGAAGUCAAAAGCACUCCGAGAAUAGCCCGGGGGAGUUAGUAAGCCCUUGGGAGACGGAGGGUGGGCAGCGCCGUUUUCUCUCCUUCCACUGGAGACUCUUGUUUCUUAUGAGGGCCAUGUGCUCAACCAUUGUCAUUAACUCUUGGUUCUCUCCGGAGCUGAUUUUCCACCCUUUCCCAGCUCCGUGUUCCAUCCCCACCCACGACUCCAGUGACUUUCAGUACCAUGAGUCACAGCUGCAGGAGUCCAGCUCCAGCAGGUCAGGGGUCUGAGGAAGAAACGCCCAAUCCGUGACGUGAAGACGCACAGAUGUCUUAUCAAUGUAGCAAGCUCUAAUUCUCUCAUCUUAUUUUUAACAAAGUUCCUCAGAAGCCCACGUGUGGUUGAAAAUAUGUGUCUUGUGAUUAUGAGGCGAUGUUUUUCCUGCAUAGACUUUUGUUUUGACUGGUUUAUAGGGGAUAUUUUUUUUUAAAUCAAUACAAUAUGAGAAUUAGAGCUUGCUCCACCACUAACUUAUCUGUGUGUCUUCCUCUUGCCAACUCCGCAUUUCCUCCUCAGAUCAUGUUGGAUCUGGACUCCAGCAAGUAGUUUUAUCGUUCCUUGGUGGCAGGUCCAGACAAGAGGAGAGAGGCGCCGGUCCCACCGGGGUCUCUCCAUGGCUGAGCGGGAUGGCGAGUGUCAAGGGCCCAAAAGAAACACAAGGAGUCUUGUUGAAGCAGCAACUCUGCUUAUGAUAACCAUGUCUCACAGAACAGCAGUCCAGUGAGCAAUGGUCCUCCGGCCUCCCAGAA